GUCCACGCCUAACGAUGAUUACUCGACAUUGGCGAUAUACAGUUCAGUGUCCAAGCGAAGCGUUAAGUAAUCCACCUGGGAGUACGACCGCAAGGUUGAACUCAAGGAAUUGACGGGUCCGCACAAGCGGUGGAGCAUGUGAUUUAAUUCGAUGAUACGCGAGGAACCUUACCUGGGCUAGAAUGCACUUUGACCGCUGCUGAAAGGUAGCUUUCUUCGGAACAAAGUGCAAGGUGCUGCAUGGCUGUCGU
rnacentral:rRNA from 1 species